CCUCAGAGCCCAUGGGGGAGAGAUUGUAAGGGCAUGAAUAAAAAUAAUAAAGAUGACAUUUUUAAUGUUGACUUUUUUGAGAGGUGAGGAAAUCAAAGUUUGGAUACGAAAGGUACAGGAUGGAGCUGGGACCUAACCUGGAUCUUUAGACUCCAAACCUUGCACUUCAGGAUGCUUCAAAAAGAAGCCAUCUAACUGGAGGCCCCUCGAGAUUGGAGAAGGUUCGGCCCACAGGAGGCUGUAGCAAGGGGUCUGUGAGCAGGAGACAGAGGUGGGAGCACUCGCCCCCUGCUCCUCCUUGCAUGGCUACAGUCAGGCAGCAGCUGCAUUCUGAUGCCACAGCUGCUGUUGGGUGGCUCCAAGAACCAGGCCAUGGCCAUCUCCCCAAGCUGGGUCUCACCAUCUACACUUAAUGAUGACAGCGGCCUGAUCUUCCUGAUUUCAGGCUGGACUCUUCCAAUCCAUCCUCCAUUCAGCAGCCGGAGCGACUUUCCAGAAGUACAAAUCUAAGCAUGUCCCUUCUGCUCUUAAAUGGAACUCAAAAUGUGUGAUAUGCCUUUCCAACUUUACCUCUAAAGAGAAACGCUAUCGGAUGUUCCAUCAGCUUUGCUGUCUUCUUCACGUACACCGUGCUGUAGUCAACUACAAAAUAGCCCCCUUGGAAAGAGGCACCUUCCCACCAGUUCAUCACUGUCUUAGCCUAGAUUCCUCCGAAGCAGAGCAUGAGACAAAGAUUUAGGGCAAGUAGUCACUGGAGAGGCGAUUUCAAGAGUAAGGGAAUGGGGAGAGGAGGACAGGGAAGGAAGCAAACCCCAUACCAGAAUGUGUUUUAUCAGUCUCCACUGUGGACAACAGGGCACAUUCUCACAGGACCCUGUGGAACCCACAGAAGGACUCGGAAUCAUCCACCUGCAAAAUGGAAGCUAGAAAUUGAUCUGCUAACUCCAGCCCCUACUGGUAAGGGCUUCUAGAUAUUUGGGCCAUAUGGCUGCCUAAGCAAGUUCCCAUGGUGCCAAAGAGCCUGCAGCAGCUUUGGAAACUUGUAGCUCAAGCUUGGCGUAGAUGCUGGCUGUGGGAGGUGACCUUGGAUUAGCAAGGAAUUGUUCACCCUGGGGGGGGGGGCAGCUGAAAUCCAGUGCGAGACAGGGUGGCUGCAUAUAAACACUCCUUCAUUGGAAAAAUCCAUGUGGCUUGCUGGAGCCAGCUGUGUAUGAGAUGCCCAGGUUGCUGAAGAAGAGGUUGUGCUCAGAGUUUACCCAGGGCAUCAUGGAAUGAGCAUGGGCUUUGCAGGCAGAUGAGUUCAAACCCUGCUUCAGUUUAUACCAGCUAUGGAACUCUGAGCAAAUCACAUCACCCAAGAGCCACAGUGUCCUUCUCAGCAUAGGGAUAAUCAUUUCUACCAUAUAGAAAUGCUUACGAGAACCAAGAGCAACCCAAGAAAGCAAUAGAUUUGGCUUUCUGAUGUUGAGUCUGUCAGUUUCUUUCUUCCCACAGGAAGGUGGCUUUGCAGACUCUCACUUCACUGCCUCAGCCAGAAUCACCCCCAUUUUCUCCAUGCCUGGUGGCACCUGGGUCACCUACAAUUAUCCAGCAGCCCUGACAACCUGUGUGCAGUGUGGAUUUUUUCCAGGUCCCAGUUUGGGACUGGUACAUCAGCAAUCCACUCCCCAAUUUCACUGCAGGUGGCCAAAAGAGAUUUUGUAAAACAGCAGGAAGGACUUACAUUGCAUACGACACAGCAGUCAUUUAUUGAUCUGUUUAUUUUUGAAAUUCCCAUUAGCUGUUGCUAUCUUUCCUUGAAUCCCUUUUCCGACCCCACCAUUUUUCUCACCUGAGCUCUGCACCUCCAGUUUAAUUCCUUCAUACUUUUUCUUGCCCCUUGGGUUCUGGGCUCUAUUCACGUAUUAUGGGUUACAAUUUGACCCCCCACCAAAUUCAUACGUUGAAAUCCUAACCCUCAGGUCCUGAGAAUAUGAUCUCUUAUGGAAACAGGGUCAUUGCAGAGGGUAAUCAGUUGGGUAUAUACUGAAGUAGGGGGGCCCUAUCUGAUAUGACUGGUAUUCUUACACAAGGAGGGAAAUUUGGGCCCAGAGUCACUCACACAGGAAGAAUGCCAUGUGAAGACUGGAUUUAUGCUGCUACGAGCCGCAGUAGUACCGAGAGGCCCGGAACAAAUCCUUCCCUAGUGUCUUCCAGGGAGUGGGUAUAUCUGACACCUUGAUCUUGAACUUCCAACUUCCAGAACCACGAGACGAUCAGUUCCUGUUGGUGAAGUCACCCAGUCUGUAGCAUUCUGUUACAGCAGCUAGCAAACUAACACACCCCCUAAAAGGACAAUUUAUUUUUCUGUUGCAAAUAUAAUUUUUGCAUCAUCCCCCUUGAUUCCAGCCUUUAUUGUUAUGUUCAUGUGUUUACAUUUCCUGACAGUCCCUGGGGGCGGAGCCUGGGUCAUUCUCAGUGUGGUGUUUUCAGGGUCUGACACACCGCCUGGCUCACAGAUAUGUACAGGCAAUGUUUGCUGAAGACCUCUUGCUACAGGUAGAUCUGGUGCUUGCCCUUUGGGGGUUGUUCACAUUAGCAUAGGUAGCACCAUCAAGGGCAGGCGUGGGCAAGGGCAGGCCAGGGACAGCAUGAGCAGCCCAUGGCCAGCUGGACUGCAGAUGCUGUAGUAAUGAGAAAUAAGGUAGGGAUGGAAGAUGGGGAAUGUAAUGUCAGGGCACCAGAAUUUGGAGAAUGCACCUACUUUGGGAGGGCAAUGGGGCAGCAGGGAGCCACAGGAAGGAGAGGUAUCAAUAGCAGGGCUCUGGGAAGAUUAUUCUAUUAUACAUUAUAGGAGCCCAGGGAGGUCUGUGACUGGGCCCGAGACCAGGUGAGAGGUGAUGAAGGCUGACACCUUCAUGGGUGUGAGGAUGGAGACAAGAUGAGACACAAGAGGAAGAAAUGCCAGCCCGACAGCUGACUUAGAGGUAUUUUCCCCUUUGAGAUGCAAGUCCCCAAGCUCCUCCUCCUUCUGAAGAUGCCACGCUGAGAAUUUCCAUGAUGCGGGCGAUGACAUAAAUCACACCAUCCCGCCCCCUGUCUGGCAGUGACUCUUUUGGUGAGAGAGCAAAGGAACCAGCUACCCCCACCUCGAGCUGGUAAGGUUUCUGGUCCACAACUCAAAAUGUCAAUUCAUGAAAGCAGACAUUUUCCACCUUUUUAAAUAUCAAGUUUUUAUAAUCACAUAUGAGUUCUACAAGUUAACUGAAAUGCAAUGGUGAUGAAUCUUGUGGGUAUAAAGUGAAAAUUACAUACAGUAAAAUAUGACCUUGUCCUUUAAGAAGAGGGACCUGGAGUAUUGAAAACUGAUAAGGAAAAGAUUGCAUGAUUUUAAUUUUCUUGCCUGUUUGUUAUCUUCUUUUCCCUGGAACAUCAAAGCCAAAGUGUAGUUUAAAGAAGAAUGAGAAGGCUGAGUUUGGAGGUGAUGGGUGACUAAGUUAAAUAUUGUUGGGUGUAAAUACACUGUGAGGAUAUGCAAAAGAAGAAAAUAAAAAUUGCCGGGCAUAGUGGUGCGCACCUGUAGUCCUGGUGGCUUGGGAGGCUGAGGCAGGAGGAUUGUGAAUUCAAGGUUCGCCUCAGCAACCUAGGGAGGCCGUAAGCAACUUAGCAAGACCCUGUCUCAAAAUAAAACAUAAAAGCUGGGCCCAGUGGUGCAUGCCUGUCAUCCCAGAACCUUGGGAGGCUGAAACAGGAGGAUCACAAGUUCAAAGCCAGCCCCAGCGAUGGAGAGGCACUAAGCAACUCAGUAAGACUCUGUCUCUAAAUAAAAUUUAAAAAUAGGGCUAGGGAUGUGGCUCAGUGGUUGAAUGCUCCUGGGUUUAAUAAUCCCUGGUACCAGGGCUGGGGUUGUGACUCAGUGGUAGAGAGUGGUUGUGACUCAGUUGUGACUCCAUAAAACUCCUGUGUAAUGAGACCUCAUAACCCCAGUGGUAAAGUGCUCGCCUAGCACGUGCGAGGCCCUGGGUUCGAUCCUCAGCACCACAUAAAAAUAAGUAAAUAAAAUAAAGGUAUUGUGUCCAACUAUAUAAAAAAUUAAAUAUUAAAAAAAUAAUCCCUGGUACCAAAAAAUAUAAAAAUAAAAAAUAAAAUAAAUAAA